UACGUAGGGGCAAGCGUUGUCCGGAAUCAUUGGGCGUAAAGAGCGUGUAGGCGGCCAGAAAAGUCCGCUGUGAAAACUCGAGGCUCAACUUCGAGCUGUCGGUGGAAACUUUCUGGCUAGAGUCCGGAAGAGGAGAAUGGAAUUCCUGGUGUAGCGGUGAAAUGCGCAGAUAUCAGGAAGAACACCCGUGGCGAAGGCGGUUCUCUGGGACGGUACUGACGCUGAGACGCGAAAGCGUGGGGAGCGAACAGG
rnacentral:rRNA from 1 species